rnacentral:rRNA from 1 species
UUGGGUGACGAGUGGCGGACGGGUGAGUAAUGUCUGGGAAACUGCCCGAUGGAGGGGGAUAACUACUGGAAACGGUAGCUAAUACCGCAUAACGUCUUCGGACCAAAGUGGGGGACCUUCGGGCCUCACACCAUCGGAUGUGCCCAGAUGGGAUUAGCUAGUAGGUGGGGUAAUGGCUCACCUAGGCGACGAUCCCUAGCUGGUCUGAGAGGAUGACCAGCCACACUGGAACUGAGACACGGUCCAG